GAUGAACGCUAGCUACAGGCUUAACACAUGCAAGUCGAGGGGCAGCAUGGUCUUAGCUUGCUAAGGCCGAUGGCGACCGGCGCACGGGUGAGUAACACGUACCCAACCUGCCGUCUACUCUUGGACAGCCUUCUGAAAGGAAGAUUAAUACAAGAUGGCAUCAUGAGUCCGCAUGUUCACAUGAUUAAAGGUAUUCCGGUAGACGAUGGGGAUGCGUUCCAUUAGAUAGUAGGCGGGGUAACGGCCCACCUAGUCUUCGAUGGAUAGGGGUUCUGAGAGGAAGGUCCCCCACAUUGGAACUGAGACACGGUUCAAACUCCUACGGGAGGCAGCAGUGAGGAAUAUUGGUCAAUGGGCGAGAGCCUGAACCAGCCAAGUAGCGUGAAGGAUGACUGCCCUAUGGGUUGUAAACUUCUUUUAUAAAGGAAUAAAGUCGGGUAUGGAUACCCGUUUGCAUGUACUUUAUGAAUAAGGAUCGGCUAACUCCGUG
rnacentral:rRNA from 1 species